CUGGAAAGAUGAGCCAUAGCAGGUGAUAGCCCUGUAAAUACAAAUUGAAGAGGACGCGUAGUAUCCUGAGUAAGGCGGAACCGGAGGAAUUCUGCCCGAAUUUGCCAGCACCAUCUGGUAAGGCUAAAUACUCCUCAGACACCGAUAGUGAACCAGUACCGUAAGGGAAAGGUGAAAAGCACCCCGAACAGGGGAGUGAAAUAGUACCUGAAAACCGUGUGCCUACAAGCGGUCGGAGCAUUGCAACAUAUGUGACGGCGUGCCUUUUGCAUAAUGAACCUACGAGUUGCUCCUAACUGGCGAGGUUAAGUUCGUAAUUAACGGAGCCGAAGCGAAAGCGAGUCCAAAUAGGGGCGAUUAGUCAGUUGGGGCAGACGCGAAACUUUGUGAUCUAUCCAUGGGCAGGUUGAAGGUUAGGUAAAACUAACUGGAGGACCGAACGCGUUGACGUUGAAAAAGUCUUGCGAUGAUCUGUGGAUAGGGGGUGAAAGGCC
rnacentral:rRNA from 1 species